GACGAACGCUGGCGGCGUGCUUAACACAUGCAAGUCGAACGGAAAGGCCCUGCUUUUGUGGGGUGCUCGAGUGGCGAACGGGUGAGUAACACGUGAGUAACCUGCCCUUGACUUUGUGAUAACUUCAGGAAACUGGGGCUAAUACCGGAUAGGAGCUCCUGCUGCAUGGUGGGGGUUGGAAAGUUUCGGCGGUUGGGGAUGGACUCGCGGCUUAUCAGCUUGUUGGUGGGGUAGUGGCUUACCAAGGCUUUGACGGGUAGCCGGCCUGGGAGGGGGACCGGGCACAUUGGGACUGAGAUACGGACCAGACUGCUACGGGAGGCAGCAGUGGGGAAUAUUGCACAAUGGGCGGAAGCCUGAUGCAGCAACGCCGCGUGCGGGAUGACGGCCUUCGGGUUGUAAACCGCUUUCGCCUGUGACGAAGCGUGAGUGACGGUAAUGGGUAAAGAAGCACCGGCUAACUACGUG
rnacentral:rRNA from 1 species